rnacentral:rRNA from 1 species
CCUACGGGAGGCAGCAGUGAGGAAUAUUGGUCAAUGGGCGCGAGCCUGAACCAGCCAAGUAGCGUGAAGGAUGACUGCCCUACGGGUUGUAAACUUCUUUUAUAAAGGAAUAAUGUGAUGCACGCUUGCCUUUUUGUAUGUACUUUCUGAAUAACGAUCGGCUAACUCCGUGCCAGCAGCCGCGGUUAUACCGGGGAUCCGAGCGUUAUCAGGAUAUUUUGGGUUAAAAGUGAAGGUAGAUGGGUUGUUAAUGCAGUUGGGAAUGUUUGGGUCUCAACCGUAAGAUUGCAAUGGAUACUGGCAGUCUUGAGUACAGUUGAGGUAGACGGAAUUAGUGGUGUAGGGGUGAAAUGCUUAGAGAUCACGAAGAACUCCGAUUGCGAAGGCAGCUUACUAAACUGCCACUGACAUUGAUGCUCGAAAGUGUGGGUAUCAAACGGGAUUAGAUACCCCUGUAGUC